rnacentral:sRNA from 1 species
UCAAAUGGGACUCCAUUCUGCAGAUGCUUAUCUUCAGAUCUCAGCCUGGACAUGAUUUGCAAUAGUGCAGACAAAGACUAUAUUUAAACAAUUUUAGAGUUAUGGAGGUUUGCCAAGACGUAUGGAGGUUGAAAAAGAAGAACUGAGUUCCCUGACGUGGGUUAUCCUUCUUUCUGAAAGAAAUUUCUAGGAAAAAAUGGAGAAAAGAACCUGGGUAGGUUGCAGUCAACAACUCCAGUGCAGAAUGGACCCUGAAGAGGAAUUCAAGCACCAACAGAACCUAUGCAACCACAUCUUGUAUGUCAGUGUUACAGCUCUGAAGGCAAAAGUUUGGAAGUCAACUCACACCUCAACGUAACACCACGUACUAACAUGCACAUAAGUCAUAGGGCAGUUAGAGAAACACAGGAGCAUAGAUGCUAUUGCUAGGGUUAGAAGCUGUAGUAAUCUAAGCAGAAAACAGCUUUAUAUAAGAUUUCAUGAGGAUGGGGCCGACCUUACUAGGGUAGAGUUUUCUGAUGUGUUGAUUGGUGAGGUUUCAAUUCCAGAGUUUUGGGUGAGUAUUGGUUAGAUUUCAAGUUCUGAGUUUAGACUUGUAUGCUGGAACUUGGGGAGUGGGUACAGUCUUUAGAUCAGUGAAGAUAUUAGGUGGGUGGAACUUGGCAGGAUGGAGGGCCUGAGAUUUAUGAACCUUAUUAAAGGCCUUAUUGUUUUUACAUAUCAGGAUCAGGGAAAUAGUUUAUUGAAUACAGAUGAACUACGAGCUUUGUUUAUGGUAUAUUGAUCGAUGAACAAUAAGUCAUUUGUUAUAAAUUAUAGUAAGUUAAUAUAAUAACAAGUUAAUGUAGGAAGGAGAUACCUGUAGAGAAACAUCUGUAGGUUGCAAUUAUCCUGGGUAAAGAAGCUGUGGUUGAUGGACACUGCAUACACAAUCAAGUGAGAAACUUCCAUCACUGUAAGUUUUAGUCAUCCCACUAAUAAAGCUUUGCAAGUCCUAUGGGCUUGAGCUUUUAGGUUUAUUGACAUGGUUGUGCUUAUGAGAAACACUUUCACUCAGAACUUACUAUCUCACCUUAAUUUAAAUUUUCUUUUGUUCUUUAUUUUGUGAGGUAAGAAUCAA